AGCGGAGGAAAAGAAACUAACAAGGAUUCCCCUAGUAACGGCGAGUGAACCGGGAAAAGCUCAAAUUUGAAAUCUGGCUGUCUUCGAUAGUCCGAGUUGUAAUCUAUAGAAGCGUUUUCCGUGCUGAACUGUGUCUAAGUCCCUUGGAACAGGGUAUCAAAGAGGGUGAUAAUCCCGUACUUGACACAACCAUCAGUGCUCUGUGAUACGUUCUCUACGAGUCGAGUUGUUUGGGAAUGCAGCUCAAAAUGGGUGGUAAAUUCCAUCUAAAGCUAAAUAUUGGCGAGAGACCGAUAGCGAACAAGUACCGUGAGGGAAAGAUGAAAAGCACUUUGGAAAGAGAGUUAAACAGUACGUGAAAUUGUUGAAAGGGAAACGAUUGAAGUCAGUCGUGUUCAUUGGAUUCAGCUAGUUCUUCUAGUCUACUUCCUUUGAACGGGUCAACAUCAGUUUUGUCCGGUGGAUAAAGGAUUUAGGAAUGUGACUCCCUCGGGAGUGUUAUAGCCUAGGUUCACAUACACUGGGUGAGACUGAGGACUGCAGCUCGCCUUUUGGCCGGGGUUCGCCCACGUUCGAGCUUAGGAUGUUGACAUAAUGGCUUUAAACGACCCGUCUUGA
rnacentral:rRNA from 1 species